UAAAACAGUACCGGACAAAAUGUGUAUUACAUGCUGCUGAGCGCGUACCACUUCUAAGGGAUUGUCACAAAGACGGCCAGAGUGGGUGGCGUCAGACCAGAUGCAGGAAAUACACAGACAGAGAUUUGUGGUUUGGUGAAGCUGAGCGAAUGCUUUCGCUCAGCAUUUAAUAACAAAACAGAAAAUAAAAGGUUUGAAACAACAAAACACAGCACACGGCACUUGAGGCCAAAAUAAAUAGACAAACAAAACGGACUAGACAGUGCACAACAGACAGACGAACAAACACGGUGUUGCCUACCUCAGCCUAGCCUACUGCAGGAAGUUCACAGAUAAAGUGUUACAGUACCUGGCCACAGGGAAAGGCUGCCACAAACUCAUCUACUUGGACCUUUCUGGCUGCACUAAGGACUACACCGACCAUUCGACGGCCACCUCCCUCCACCCUUAUAAGACCACCCACCCUCAAGUCCCAUCUUUUUAAUCUUCGCCCUCUUCCACUGGCUGGCUUGAGGGUGGGUCGGUCCUUCCUCCGGCGCACUCAGGAAGGGACCAUGCACCAGCAAGAAGGGACCCGGACGGCUUGCCCUGGGCGACUGUAGCGCAGGCCGGUGACCGGGAGCAAGGAUUGGCAGGCAGAGGCGCAUGGCUGUAGACCGGCGCAGCGAUAUCUUGGAUCUCAGGGAGAGUGGAGCAGUAGGUAGGGGGAACGGAGCAACCAGCAGGGGGAGCGCCAGCGACGUCUGCCUCUUGCGCAGUGACAUCUUCCUCAUAUGAUGACAAUGACUUGAGUCGAGUCGAGUCACCGGAAAUUGUGAGUGGAGUAACUGAGUCAAGUCAUUGCAACUCUGGCCUCAGUUGGACCACAGUUGGAAUGUCUGGAGGGAUAGCCCAAUACACCUUUUCCAGUGCUAGGAACAUGUCUGGAUGUCAUGCUGAAGGGGCAGGCCAAUAUAAGGGCAGCAGUGUGGAGUAGUGGUUAGGGCUCUGGACUCUUGCAGCAGUGUGGCGCAGUGGUUAGGGCUCUGGACUCUUGCAGCAGUGUGGAGUAGUGGUUAGGGCUCUGGACUCUUGCAGCAGUGUGGAGUAGUGGUUAGGGCUCUGGACUCUUGCAGCAGAGUGGAGUAGUGGUUAGGGCUCUGGACUCUUGACCGAAAGGUUGUGGGUCCAAUCCCAGUUGGGGGACACUGCUGCUGUACCCUUGAGCAAGGUACUUUACCUAGAUUGCUCCAGUAAAAA